rnacentral:tRNA from 2 species
GCUCCCUUAGCUCAGCUGGAUAGAGCAACGGAUUUCUAAUCCGUAGGUCGCAGGUUCAAGUCCUGCAGGGAGCG